UACGUAGGGCGCAAGCGUUGUCCGGAAUUAUUGGGCGUAAAGAGCUCGUAGGCGGCUUGUCACGUCGGAUGUGAAAGCCCGGGGCUUAACUCCGGGUCUGCAUUCGAUACGGGCUGGCUAGAGUGUGGUAGGGGAGAUCGGAAUUCCUGGUGUAGCGGUGAAAUGCGUAGAUAUCGAGAGGAACACCUGCGGCGAAGGCGGGUUGCUGGGCUGACACUGACGCUGAAGCGCGAAAGCUAGGGGAGCGAACGGG
rnacentral:rRNA from 1 species